rnacentral:rRNA from 1 species
AUUGAACGCUGGCGGAAUGCUUUACACAUGCAAGUCGAGCGGCAGCGCGGGGCAACCUGGCGGCGAGCGGCGAACGGGUGAGUAACAUAUCGGAACAUACCCAGUCGUGGGGGAUAACACAGCGAAAGUUGUGCUAAUACCGCAUACGUCCUGAGGGAGAAAGCGGGGGAUCGCAAGACCUCGCGCGAUUGGAGUGGCCGAUAUCGGAUUAGCUAGUUGGUGAGGUAAAGGCUCACCAAGGCGACGAUCCGUAGCUGGUCUGAGAGGACGACCAGCCACACUGGAACUGAGACACGGGCCAGACUCCUACGGGAGGCAGCAGUGGGGAAUAUUGCGCAAUGGGCGAAAGCCUGACGCAGCGACGCCGCGUGGAGGAUGAAGGUCUUCGGAUUGUAAACUUCUGUUAAGUGGGAAGAAAUACCUGCUUCUAAUAAAAGUAGGGGAUGACGGUACCAUUAGAGAAAGCACCGGCUAACUUCGUGCCAGCCGCCGCCGUAA